UACUCCUACGGGAGGCAGCAGUAAGGAAUAUUGGUCAAUGGACGAAAGUCUGAACCAGCCAUGCCGCGUGAAGGAUUAAGGUCCUCUGGAUUGUAAACUUCUUUUAUCUGGGACGAAAAAAGGCGAUUCUUCGUCACUUGACGGUACCAGAUGAAUAAGCACCGGCUAACUCCGUGCCAGCAGCCGCGGUAAUACGGAGGGUGCAAGCGUUAUCCGGAUUCACUGGGUUUAAAGGGUGCGUAGGCGGGCAGGUAAGUCAGUGGUGAAAUCCUAGAGCUUAACUCUAGAACUGCCAUUGAUACUAUCUGUCUUGAAUAUUGUGGAGGUAAGCGGAAUAUGUCAUGUAGCGGUGAAAUGCUUAGAUAUGACAUAGAACACCUAUUGCGAAGGCAGCUUACUACGCAUAUAUUGACGCUGAGGCACGAAAGCGUGGGGAUCAAACAGGAUUAGAUACCCUGGUAGUCCACGCCCUAAACGAUGAUUACUCGACAUUUGUGAUACACUAUAAGUGUCUGAGCGAAAGCAUUAAGUAAUCCACCUGGGAAGUACGACCGCAAGGUUGAAACUCAAAGGAAUGACGG
rnacentral:rRNA from 1 species